rnacentral:pre_miRNA from 1 species
AAGAUAUUCCCUCCGUCCCAAAAUAAGUGACUCAAAAGUGGCUCUUUUUUGUACUAAAGUUAGUACAAAAGUGAAUCAUUUUUGAGUCACUUAUUUUGGGACGGAGGGAGUAUAUG